GCUUGUCUCAAAGAUUAAGCCAUGCAUGUCUUAGUGUAAAUAACUCUUAUGAAACUGCGAAUGGCUCAUUAAAUCAGUUAUCAAAUACGUGAUGGUCGCCUACUACAUGGAUAACCGUAGUAAUUCUAGAGCUAAUACAUGCACAAAGGCCCAUUCACGUGGGUUGUGAUUAUUAGAUUCAAACCGGCCUCGUUCUGGUGAAUCAUAGUAACUGAUCGGAUCGCAUGGGCUACGCCCGCGACAAACCAUUCAAGUUUCUGCCCCAUCAGCUUUCGAUGGUAGUGUAUUGGACUACCAUGGCUUUUACGGGUAACGGAGGAUUAGGGUUCGAUUCCGGAGAGGGAGCCUGAGAAACGGCUACCACAUCUAAGGAAGGCAGCAGG
rnacentral:rRNA from 1 species